rnacentral:lncRNA from 1 species
UUUUUGUCGUCCUGUCUCCUGCUCAGCUCUUUUAUUUGCCUCCCUCGACUCACCUUUGUUUUCGGUUCUGCCCUCAGGCAAGCGGUCUCUACCCCUCUCCCGCACGUGACGCGGCCUCCGCCUCCGCCUCUCAGUUCCCCCUCCCACCUCACCCUUCCUCCCGCCUCAGCCUCUAGGCUGGUCCGGGCCGAGCCGCCAUUUUGUGUCAAUUCCUGAUUGCGGCGGGGGCCGGGCAGCCGGGAGACCAGUGGCGGGCAGACAAGGGAGACAGUCGGCCCGUCUCCGCGGCCCGUUCCCUCUCUCCCUUCAAUCCUUUUUUUCUUUUUAACCCUUCCACCCCCUUCGCUGGCUCUCCUCUUCUCCCCUUACCCUUCGCUUGCUCCAUCGCGCGCGGCCCGCGCUAAUUACACCCAACCACCCACCAGUGUCCGAGUCUCCCGGGUCUCCCGCCCCCGGGCCCGCGGGGGUGUGGGGGGGGCUCUCGCCCCUAUGAGGGCCCCGCGCCAGUAAGCGAGUGACCGCAGGGGUGGGCUGCGGAGAAAGCAGGCGGCGAGCGGCCCUCCGAGGCCUAGGCCGCGCGGCCUAAGCGGAGGUCAGCGCAGAGGAACUAUGGAGGCCGCGCCCGGGACCCCCCCGCCGCCGCCAUCAGAGUCGCCGCCGUCGCCAUCGCCGCCGCCGCCAUCAACGCCUUCGCCUCCUCCGUGUUCCCCCGACGCCCGCCCGGCUACCCCGCACCUCCUCCACCACCGCCUCCCGCUCCCUGACGACAGGUCAGGCCCCCGGCCGGGCCGGGGCUGCGUCCCCGGGGGGAGGAAGAGGAGGAGGAGGAAGGGGGGCGGCCGCCAUGUUGGGCCGGGCCGCGGAGGAGGAGGAGGAGGAGGAGGAGGAAGGGCGGGGUCGGUGGGUGUCUCUCGAUCGCUUGCUCGCUCGCUCUUUCUCGCUUGCUUUCUCUCCUGGCCUCAUGCGUUUCCCCCCCCUCGCGGCGUUCGCCCGCUCUCCCUCGCUCUCGCUCUGUCUUUUUUGGGCGCCAUGCUGAGGGGAAGACCAUACUUUGCCUUUUAAAAGAAAUGCCACCCACAUUCAGAGACACAAGUGCAGCAGUUUGGUGAGCUUUUUACAACAUUUGUUUUUUUCUGUUUUGUUCUAAUUAAAUGUAUCGUCCUGGGAAUCGCAGCCCAUCGCAGCCCGACUCCAAGGAAAUAAACAGAUUAGCAAAGGUCUGUUCGCAAAGCCCUCGUUGGGCUUCCGGGCCCCCUCUCCGGGGGCAGGUGCAUUACUCAAAGGUGCUUACACGCUUUAUUCGACCUCUAAGGAGUUCUCUUAUGUCAGAAGUGUAUGUCUUACAAUGGGUUGGGAUGGUAAGUAGCCUCUUUUAUUGAGUAAUUCAAUGAUCUCCCUCUUUUUCUCCCUUUCCUGCCUGCCUUCCUCCUCGCCUUUAGACCAAAGUGAUGCUUGAGAGAGUGAGUUGAUAUGUUCGAAUCAGGAUUCUAACCCUGUUGAGCCCUUUUAGACUUGCACAUCCUUUCAAUGUUUAAUUUUUAAAAUUUUACGUACACAGUUUUCUCCAAAAAAAAAAAAAAAGUGUGUUACUGUAACAUGACAAAAAUCGAUAUAAAAGGCCCGUAUGUUUUCGGACUCUUGGCAUCCCUCUUUCCAUUUCAAUCCAUUGCUUUGUCUCCAGCCUUCAUCUCUGAAAAGAGUGGAUACUUCAAGUCCAUUUGUAGGAGACAAGCUUACUGAAUUUGAUUUAUGAUACAUGUAUUCAAGUUAAUGGUUUCCCUCCCUCCCUGCCCCCCAGAAAAGAUUGGUUCAAGUAGCUCCAAUUUUCUCAUUUUACUCCAAUGUCUCUUGUGGUGAUGGACGUUAAAAUUGAGCAAGUCAUUUGUAAAGUACUGUUGAAGCACAAAAUCUGUAAACUGUGUCAAGCCCCCAUCUCUGCCCGUCUCCACUGCUCCUUUGUUCGAAAGCACAUGUCUGACUGUGAAAAGUUGAUGCAAACGUGUUACACGCCCAGUCAUGUUGGAGGGAACACCUCCUCCAGCCCCCAGUCCCCCCGGCCUACACGUAACAAGGAAAAAACAGAAACAGAAAUGACUUGCAGAACCAAACACCGUACUUCUGAUGUGUUUUACAAGCAUAAGUUCCGUUAAAAGACAAAACACGUUGAAGUUGCAUUUUCCCUCUUUCCCACUUUUGAUCCCUGACAUACUUUGAGAGAGAACCCUGGCCCUCUCCAAAAGAGCCGUUUCCUUUUUUUCCUUCUUAAAAGGAAAAAAGGUCACGCACAUGUAGAUGAGGAAACUGCAAUUCAGUAGGCCACUUGUUUUCUUCCUCUUAAUAUGUUCACAACUGCCAUGGAGUGGUGAUCCUUAGUAUGUAAAAUCAGUUAUGGGAGGAAGAAAUCUCCAAACUCUACAGUAUCCUGCAAAAAAUGUCUGAAGCACAAACCGAACAAACACAUUAUCCAGGGCACUGGGUCAGCCCGAAAUGAAUUGCAUUUAUUUGAAGUUUCCCAUCCUUUAUAAAAUUCCUUCUCCAGGAGCUGAGAACAGAAAUUGGAUGACUGAUGACCCAAGUUCCAAAGGCUACUAAGUUGCUUAUUUAAACUGACUUUUAAAAAGAAACGUUAAGGAAAUGAGAUUUUUUUUGUAAGUGAAAUUUUUAGCAAUCAUUCAGUGAAUUUGAAACUAUUUCCCCAAGCAUUUAAAAAACUCACAGGCAUAUCAACACAAGGGUUUAUUGUUUUCUGUUCUCAAAGGAAUCUCAUCCCGAGAAGCCCCAGUAAUUAAGUCAAAAACUAUUUGGUUAAUCUUUGUUUUUGAAAUGUCACAGUACUGCCUUUUUUUCCCCCCAAACUGAUGUACCAGUAUUAGUUAAAAAUCAAAUUAAUGGAUGUUGCAAAAAAAAAAAGAAAGAAAAGGGUGUCACUCAGAAUCCCUGAUUUAACAACCAAUCUUAUUAUACACUUAUAACCUUUUACAUUUUUAUUUUCUCUGGGUGAGAGAUUUAACUUAAAAGCAAAUCAAAGUCUCCUAGUAGAAAAAAGUCGAUUUUGACCAUGGAAAUAUGGAUGUUCUGGUCAUAAAGCCCCUUUAUUUUUUUAAUUCUUCUCAAAUUUGCUCUUUAAAAGAAAAAAAAAAAUGUGAUUCCCCAAAAGGAGUAAUUCACAGCCUGUCCUCUCCCCCCGGUACAAUUUUGUUGUGCUCUGAAGGUUUAAAUUUUUGAUUUCUUUUUAAGCCAUAGUUUUCUCUAAGUAGAGCCAGCUAUUUUAGCCACUACUGUGGUUUUUCCACAGCCAGGAAGGCUGAUCCCAAGGGAAAAUUGUUUUGUACCUGUGGACCUGGCUGUUCAACUGCCUGGCAAAUUUAAGAUGAACGGUUUUGACUCUUGUGUUUCUAUAUAGUUGAAUGUAGAGCUAUUGCAUGUUGGACUUGCUUAGUAAUUUAUUUGACGGUGCUUCCACCUCUGCUUCUUGCUCUUAGAUCUUUUACCUUCUUCCAUGAUGGGAGAGAAAUGGCUGUCUGAGGAUCCACUUCCUUUUGUUACUUUUUUUUUUUUUUUUUUGAGACGGAGUCUCACGCUGUUGCCCAGGCUGGAGUGCAGUGGCGCGAUCUCGGCUCACUGCAAGCUCCGCCUCCCGGGUUCCCGCCAUUCUCCUGCCUCAGCCUCCUGAGUAGCUGGGACUACAGG